CACGUAGGGUGCGAGCGUUGUCCGGAAUUAUUGGGCGUAAAGAGCUCGUAGGCGGUGUGUCGCGUCGGCCGUGAAAACCUGCAGCUUAACUGUGGGCGUGCGGUCGAUACGGGCAUCACUGGAGUUCGGCAGGGGAGACUGGAAUUCCUGGUGUAGCGGUGAAAUGCGCAGAUAUCAGGAGGAACACCGGUGGCGAAGGCGGUUCUCUGGGAAUAUCCUGACGCUGAGGAGCGAAAGCAUGGGGAGCGAACAGG
rnacentral:rRNA from 1 species